AGGCCUAACACAUGCAAGUCGAGCGGCAGCGGAAAGUAGCUUGCUACUUUGCCGGCGAGCGGCGGACGGGUGAGUAAUGUCUGGGGAUCUGCCUGAUGGAGGGGGAUAACUACUGGAAACGGUAGCUAAUACCGCAUAACCUCGCAAGAGCAAAGUGGGGGACCUUCGGGCCUCACGCCAUCGGAUGAACCCAGAUGGGAUUAGCUAGUAGGUGGGGUAAUGGCUCACCUAGGCGACGAUCCCUAGCUGGUCUGAGAGGAUGACCAGCCACACUGGAACUGAGACACGGUCCAGACUCCUACGGGAGGCAGCAGUGGGGAAUAUUGCACAAUGGGCGCAAGCCUGAUGCAGCCAUGCCGCGUGUGUGAAGAAGGCCUUCGGGUUGUAAAGCACUUUCAGCGAGGAGGAAGGGUUAAGUGUUAAUAGCACUGAACAUUGACGUUACUCGCAGAAGAAGCACCGGCUAACUCC
rnacentral:rRNA from 1 species